UCCUCGCCUCUGCGCGUGCGCGAGCGCCUUAAAGGCGCCGUGGUACCGCUUGAGGGUCUUCGAAGGGGCGACCUGCAGAUCGGUGUCGGUAGCCUCGGGCCCUACAUUGCUGGUGUCGCCCCAAGCUAGAGGGCGGUGUGUUCUGCCUGCGUGUCCAGCCCGGGAGGGCCGGAGGGCGUAGUUGUGGAAGCCGGAACAAGACAGCGUUUCGAAAACAGAGACGGAGAGCCCCCUACCCCUGAUCUUCAACCCAAGCUCUUAGUUUCAAGAUGCAAGCCACUGGACAUAGAAAAGCCGUCAUUCCGGGUUGUAAGCGGUGCUCGAGCGCCUCAUGGUGGGAACAAGCGGAACUUCCGAACGCUGGGCGGUACCACUUCCGGGCUGGUUGAGCGAUGGAAAGGAGGCGGGACUAAAAGUGGAGCGGAGAAGGGUGUGGCCUGAUUGACAGACCUGGAACGUGGACCGUGUCAGGGCCGGGCCUCGGCGGAAUGUCCAGCUGGUCCCAGUAACCCUCUUAAGGUGCUGAUCUUGCCUCCCAGAUCUUGGUGCAUGGGGCACACUUGUACUAGCACGUGCGGGCUUCCAACUCAGAAACAUUAAACAAGAGGGAAAAAUCCUAGGUGGUCUGGUGACAAAACCUGAAAUUCCAGCACUAAGGAGGUGGACAGCAGGGGAAUCAUCUACCUGUUCAGGGACAACAGCCUUGACUACGUGGUGAAACCUUAUCUCAAGAAAG